rnacentral:tRNA from 1 species
CUGUCUAGCUCAGUUGGUAGAGCGCUCCACUGGAAAUGGAGAGCUCCCUGGUUCGAUGCCAGGACAGA